AGUGACCCAAUGGAAUUGGUGUAUUUUUAAGAGCAAAUCACUCGGGCACCAAAACGUACCAAAAUGCCCUUUCCCCCCAGAACACCAUUUUGCAUUUGAGAAAUCCCGCCCGCGUCGCCCAGCACCGAGUCUUUGAAAUCGUCGUCCCUUUCGUCGUCUAGCACCGAGUCUUUGAAAUCGCCGUCCCUCUCGUCGUCCAGCACCGAGUCUUUGAAAUCACCGUCGCAGACUCGCUUCCACCCUCCCCCUCCCUUCGAAGCAUUUCUUUCCUCCCCCUCAUCAGAGUCUUCGAAGCCUUAGCCCGAUCCCUAUCCCCAUCCCUUGAAAUCCAUUGAAGCCCCAUCAUAUUAAGCUUCAUCAACCAUGACUCUGGGUGUUUAUUUAAUCAGUGUAUAGUUGUUUAUUUUCUUGCUUGCAUUUUUGCAUUCUUUUUUUGGGUGCCAAAAGUUAUUAUCUUCUCGAUGAUUAGGAAACCCAAAUCCUUAAGCUGUUUCUUUUUUCAGUUUGCCUGUAUUCUUGUUUGCUUGAAUUUGUGUAUUUUGUGAUAUGUAUCUAGUUCGUAGGAGCCGUAUUUUACAAUACCUUGAUUUUUGGAUGGCUAUGUAAGUUUAAGACCUAGCCCUUGUCCAUUACCUACCCGUGAAAAUUAUAUGGUGUUCUUGAAGUUAUGUUUUUAUGUAUAAAUUGUGUUGGAUGUUGCAUUUCUUCAAAUCUGCUUGAUAUAGUUUGAGCAUAAAAAUGGCAAGUUGCUCUAUAUCUUCUUCCAAGGAAAAUAACUUUUUUUUUUUUUGUUUUUUUUUUUAUAAGUAAACAAGUUUUAUUGAUCAAAGAAUAGGCAUAGCCCAGUAGAAAUACAAUAACAACUAUCAAUGAUAGUUGACAGAAGAACUUGCUACACAAGUAAAGUCUGCAAAAUAAUUGCAGGAUAUCAAUUAUUCAAGCUCUAUAUUACCUUUGAAAAAAGGAAAGUUGUUGGCUGAUCUUAAGCACGCAUGAGCUUGUGGGCAUAUAAUACUAGAUAUAUGUAGGCAAAUGUAGGACCAGAACACAAUCAUUAUCCUAUAUAAUUUUCAUAUAGUGCCUCAAAACCCAAUGACCAGACUGGUUAUGGGUUAUGCCAGAGAAAUAGUUCACACCCGUUGCAUUCAUUUAGCUUAAUCAUUUGUUUAAAUAUUAUGUUGAGUUAUUUAGCUUCUCAAUUUAUAUUCAUUUAUAUUCAUUCAUAUAUAGCCAUAGCUCAAUCCAAAAACCAAUAUAAAUGAUGUUGAACAUUUCAGUUGCUAAUCCAUUUUCCCAGUGACCAUGUCUUGCAGAAUGGAUACUCUUCACUCCUAUCAUUCACAGUGACUGACAUUAACAAUACAGUGGCAAAAUUUAGCAGUAAGGGAAAUUACCAUGAAAGCAAGGAGCUCUUUGUUUGUUUCAUUCUUGUUUUCUUCUUUAAACUGCCGUUUGUAAGUGAUGGUGGGUGACUUUAUUUUCAUGUCCUGAGGUAAAAUGUGAAUGAAUUUCAAAAGUUUGAGAUGGAGAGCAAGGUAUUUUUUAGAUGCUUGUGUUCGGUUAGCAUGUUUAGUUUAAGUGGGGUCAUUGUGCUGGCAAGUGGAGUAUAAAUAAGACUAAACCAACUUCUAUAAUAUAUUUGCUCAAAUAUGUUCAUGUACUUCUUUAUAAUGAUGUCAGAUGGGGUUUUUUGGAUGUUUUUUCAAAGUCUCUAGCCUUUAAGGAAUUCUGGGGAUGAAAGACUAGAAGAAAUAUUUUUUGAAAAUUUCUGGAUUACUUUAGAAAAUCUCUGUCGACCAAGGAACUCUAGGACAGAGUCCAGAACAAACUUUUUUUUUUUAAGCUGUGGUUGUGAGAAGGUUUCAGUAAACAUAACUCCUAAUAGCUUUUCAUGUUAUGACUGGGAAGGAAUUUUUGGAUUUAAAUCUUUCGGUGCAAAUCAUUUCUAGGAUCACUGAGUCUGUGUCAAACAUUUCUGUUUUUCCUGGCUAUUAAGUUUUAAUUUUUUUCCUCAGGUGGGUUGGUCUUGCGGGUUGCUUGGAUUGGGUCUCCCAUGUUUUUGGCCUCUGAUUUUCUUCCUGUUGGGUGUAUAACCUAGUGGAGGGAAGUUAGAAACAAGCAUAAAUCGUGCAACCUACAGCCUGAAGAGGCCGGAAAAGUGGCAGAAGAAUCUCUAUCUUGCUUGUUUGUGUUAUGGGCGGACGGUAUCUUGAUUCCUUUGUAAUUGCAAGGAAUUUCUAGGUCAAAAGAAAGUGGGAUUUUGGUGUUCCUCUUUUCCCACCAUUUAUGUAGGAUUUCAUGUCAGUUGUAAAAAACGAUUGAGGAGCUUAGCUGAAGCGGCAGUCGAGACAUGUGCUCGUAUGUAUGAUAAAUCGGUAUUAAAGGUGUACGUUUGCCUUUCAUUUUACCUCCUUGUACGAGUUUGUAAGAAAAAAAUAUAUAGCGGCGCACCAUUUUUUC